rnacentral:rRNA from 1 species
GAACCUUAGGGGAUGUAUCUAGUGGCGAACGGGUGAGUAACACGUGAAGAACCUGCCCCGAAGACCGAGAUAGCCCGGGGAAACCCGGAUUAAUACCGGAUGCCCUCUCUGGAUCGCAUGGUCCGGUGAGGAAAUGCCUUUGUGCUUCGGGAUGGACUCGCGGCCUAUCAGCUUGUUGGCGAGGUAACGGCUCACCAAGGCUACGACGGGUAGCUGGUCUGAGAGGACGAUCAGCCACACUGGGACUGAGACACGGCCCAGACUCCUACGGGAGGCAGCAGCAGGGAAUCUUGUCCAAUGGGCGAAAGCCUGAGACAGCGACGCCGCGUGAGGGAUGAAGGCCUUCGGGUUGUAAACCUCUUUCAGGAGGGACGAAAUUGACGGUACCUCCAGAAGAAGCCCCGGCCAACUACGUG